GGCCGUGAAGUGUCUAUUGGUGGAAUGCUGAACUGUUACUUCAGAGGUACAGGUUCGAAUCCUGUCACGGUCG
rnacentral:tRNA from 1 species